ACGUAACCAAGAAACACAGAGCUCUUAUCACUCUUUCGUUGAAAGCCUGAAACUGAGAAAUCUCACGGAGCGCAUGGAGAUCUCAUAGAGCUCGACGAUCAUUGAUUGGGUACGUAAUCGCACAGCUCCAAUUAGGUACGAUCUCGGUUUUGUGACUCUUCCUCUCUCUUGGCGUUGUGUUUCUCAGCUCUGGUUAGGCUAUUCGGACGCUGAUCUCAAAGGGUGCUAGAUCUGGUUCCAAUCCAGGCCCCAAUAAGUUGUUUCUAUUGGUUAAGGCUCCUUGUUCUUUCAACCUGCCUCUGCAUUUUCUUCCCAAAUGAUUUUAAAUAUAGCAAAAAGUUGACUAGAUUCUAUUAUUUCUUCUUUUGCAGCUUACUUGGACUUGCUACAACUUCUAUCAGCGCAUUUUUUGGGCAGGCUUUUCCACUGGAUUUAGUACUCUUUUCCGGUUGAGGGCAACUUAAGAUAAAGUUUUUAGUCCUACGUGCUCGGCUCAGAAGGUUUAUGAAGAAGGUGCUAAGGAUGUGGCUCUAUCUGCACUUACUGGAAUUAAUGCAACAAUUUUCGCAUAUGGGCAGACUAGCAGUGGCAAGACUUAUACCAUGAGAGGAAUCACAGAAAAUGCUAUUAAGGAUAUCUAUGAACAUAUCAGAAAUCACCAGGAGAGGGAUUUUGUUGUGAGGGUUUCUGCUUUAGAGAUCUACAAUGAGACUGUUGUUGACCUUUUGAAUCGCGAAUUUGGUUCCCUUCGGCUUUUGGAUGAUCAUGAGGUGGUUUUGCUGUUAAUUUGGGUUGCUAAUAUAAGGAAACAUGUGAAGAAUUUAGAAUUUGAGAAGGGACAUGUAUAUAAAGCUGUGCAUGUAACCGAUUUUUAUUUCCUUUCAUUACCUUUGGCCUUAUAUAUGAUGUAUUAGGAUUUGUUCUGUUCACCUACUAUCAUGUCAGAUUGUGCAAAGAACCUUGUUUUUACAAUUUAAAACUGUUGCCCCUGUUGACUAUUGAAUUAGAUCAUAUAAAUAUUGAUGGGUUAAUCUGA